AUCUGGAGACAAGUUCAAGUACUAUUGGACGCAGACAGCCCGUGAUUCUUUUACUGGUGAGCAGCGUGGUGCAGGGGCAAUCACAUGGGGGAAGAUUGA
rnacentral:ribozyme from 1 species